GAGAAAUGACGAGCUUUACAUUGGUCCGUGUUUCUGAAUCACCGUGACCGACAAAUCUUACCAAUUUCUGAUCUC
rnacentral:snoRNA from 2 species